rnacentral:rRNA from 1 species
ACGAACGCUGGCGGCGUGCUUAACACAUGCAAGUCGAGCGGUAGGGGCCCUUUCGGGGGUACGACGAGCGGCGAACGGAUGAGUAACACGUGGGUGACCUGCCCUCAGCUCUGGGAUAAGCCUGGGGAAACUGGGUCUAAUACUGGAUAUGACUCCACGGUGCAUGUCGUGGGGUGGAAAGCCUUGUGCGGCUGAGGAUGGGCCCGCGGCCUAUCAGCUUGUUGGUGGGGNGAUGGCCUACCAAGGCGACGACGGGUAGCCGGCCUGAGAGGGCGACCGGCCACACUGGGACUGAGACACGGCCCAGACUCCUACGGGAGGCAGCAGUGGGGAAUCUUGCGCAA